rnacentral:lncRNA from 1 species
UCCAUCCCCGCUUGGAGGGACCACCACAUAACCACCGUAUCAACCACCAGGUUAUUGAAUAAAUCGAUCUCAAGGGCUUUGAUUUGGGGAUUAUUUGGGCGGACACAUGCAAUCCAUUAAUCGGCUGGUCUGGUCCUAAUUCUGAUCAUCAGAACCCUAAAUCAGUGUUUUGCCUUCUCUUGCACCGACGUAACUCCUGAUUCACCCGUGUUCGCUUCAAUUUACGUGUUUUAAGUCACCUCCCAAGUCUCAGGACACAAAGAAGCAACAAAUACCCAAUAUGUUGGCCGCUGAUUGUAUACAUGGAUCCAUCCUGGUACAAAAUUCCAUAGCAGUGAAAAUUUUAGAUUUGUGGAAUUGUACAGGACUUAAAACUUUCAUCCUAUAUUGUUUUAAUGCACUUCACAUAGAUUAUCAUUGGUAAGUGAGACUUAAUAAGCUACUAUAGUAUUACGGAUUUUUAUGCAUUAUUGUUCUUAUAUUAAUCGGUUUCUAAUAUUGGUACUAUGUUGCAGAUUUUUAUAUUAUUUCAAAAAAAAACUUUGCUCUUUUUCGAGCCGGGAGUCUAUCAAGGAAAAACUUCUAUAUCCUUUUGGAUAAAUGUUCUCUAA